rnacentral:rRNA from 1 species
GACAGAGGAGCCAAGCGUUGUCCGGAUUUGACUGGGCGUAAAGCGCACGCAGGCGGCUCGGCGCGUGGGGUGUUGAAAGCUGGCGGCUUAACUGCCAGAUGCCAUUCCCAUACGGCUGGGCUCGAGCCCUUGCAGAGGUCCAUGGAAUUGCCGGUGUAGUUGGUGAAAUGCGUAGAGAUCGGCAGGAACACCCAGGGGGAAACCAGUGGACUGGGCAGGA